GGUCUGUCAAGUCGGAUGUGAAAUCCCCGGGCUCAACCUGGGAACUGCAUUCGAAACUGGCAGGCUUGAGUCUUGUAGAGGGGGGUAGAAUUCCAGGUGUAGCGGUGAAAUGCGUAGAGAUCUGGAGGAAUACCGGUGGCGAAGGCGGCCCCCUGGACAAAGACUGACGCUCAGGUGCGAAAGCGUGGGGAGCAAACAGGAUUAGAUACCCUGGUAGUCCACGCCGUAAACGAUGUCUACUUGGAGGUUGUGCCCUUGAGGCGUGGCUUCCGGAGCUAACGCGUUAAGUAGACCGCCUGGGGAGUACGGCCGCAAGGUUAAAACUCAAAUGAAUUGACGGGGGCCCGCACAAGCGGUGGAGCAUGUGGUUUAAUUCGAUGCAACGCGAAGAACCUUAC
rnacentral:rRNA from 2 species